AUGUCUGAGUGCCUAGGCGAGGAGCUUGUUUUUCAGAGUCAUGAACUUGGGGCUUGGUUUUGGGCGCAGUGUGUCAAGUCCCACGAAAAGUCUUUGAAACACCUCAAAUGUUUUGGAAACCUUGGAUGGAUACUCAAGAUUAAGUGCAUAUGUCAACCCAAGCAGCAAGCAGCAUGCUUUGGCCAGAUUUCCAAGAUUGGUAAGGACUGGCUCACGGCAGACAUAGAUGAUCAUAUUCUUCAUUUUCAGGUCCUCAUGAACAGUGGUCUCUGCAGCCCCCUUUGAGAUAAAAAAAUAAAGUAUUUAAGACAAUCUCAUUUCUUGAUGAAAAACAAAUACUACACCACUACCUGCUAAAUGCUGGUUCAGUCAGUUCACAAUUUAAACCUGUUCACCAGACUGACCCAAACCUGCUUUGAAACAAUACUUACAAAGUAAUCAGAGAUGAGCUCUUGUCCACUCUCUCCCAUAUACUCAAAGAGGCAUCUCAGAGUGACAUCUCUCUUCUUCACUGCAGUGGCACUUGGGUCCUAGUUAAUAGAACAAUAAUUAAUAAAUUAUUUUUUGUUGGUAAAUUCACUCCAACCAUGUAAUGCCAUCAUUACCCUAGGUCUGUAAUAGUUUUUCUUUUUUAUUUAUUAUAAUAGAUAAAUAGUAAUAACACUUGAGACAGUUUUUCUUCUAAUUAGUCUAAUUAACAAAAACAGCAAGAUAACUGAAAAACAAACUACUGAAUUGAUUAAUAUUGUAUCUUUUAACUUAGUAACUACUUUUGACCCACCUGUAUCAGUUCCAUCAUCAAGUUUUUGAUGCGUUGACCAGUUGCUCCACCCUUGGCACUAAAGAGCUCUAGGAGCUUUGGGGUAAUCAAGCUUUGGGGCAGCAAUUAAGUCAAGUCUCAGAUUCUCAAGGGUGUCAUCUGUUUCACCAUGUGGGUGUGAGGGCAAGUAAUUCACCUCUGCCCUCUUUGGUUUCUUGACAUUUUUAGCAGCUUUUCGCUCAUCACUUGACUUGUUUCUCAGUGAGUUUAUCAGGAGUUCAGUGCUUCCAAGGGCUUUCCGUUUUGUCCGGUAGUUUCCACACUUGUACUUUAGGCUUUGCUGCCACCCAUAAAUUCCAUUGAAAGAUCCGGGCUCCUUUAAGCAGGGAUGCUUUGCAACUAGUGCCUCUGCCACUGCACAUCUCUGGGCAUCAUUGGGGUAAGCGGUGUAGGAAAACAUGGCUUCAGCCAGGCGCUCCAGUUAGGCCUAUGCAUAGAGUAACAUAUUACAUUGUUAACAUACAUGUUACAUAGAACAUUGUUACAUUGUGAGUAGGGCUGCACGAUUAAUCGCAUGCAUUUGUCAUGCGUGUCUCAUCAGUAAAGCUGGUUCCGUGAUUAGCGGUAAAUAUCCGUCACCUGUUUUCAAAUGCACCGGGAGUUCAUACACAGAGCCGUAGUUCACUGACAAGCUACGCAAUAUCGUGUUCAUAAUCGAAUGCGAUUAAUCUCAAUUAUGAACAGAAUAUUGCGUAGCUUGUCAGUGAAGUACGGCUCUGUGUAUUAACUGCCGCUCCCGUUUGAAAACAGGUGACAGACAUUUACCGCUAAUCACGGAACCGGCUUUACUGAUGAGACACGCAUGACAAAUGCAUGUGAUUAAUCGUGCAGCCCUAAUUGUGAGCGUACACUUUUGUGAAAGAGGAACUAUGCCAGAUAUUUGCCUCAACUAUGCUUUACCAUAAUUAAACAGCUUUGGACUAAUUGAUAAUCACUCAGCUAACGUUAGCUGUGGCUUUGAGUGUAACCUUAGUGCGUCAGCGUCCACUACCAAACUAAUGUUAUAUCGAAGCCACGAAAAUGUUUUUGAAGUUACAAACACCUCUGAAACAUUAAACUGUAUCACACAAAGACAACAUUACGUAUACAGUGCACACACACGUAGAUUUAUACAGUAUGUGGUUCAAGUUAAGAGCUGUUUGAGAUAGAGCACAUUCGAAUUUGGCGGUCGCAGAUGUUUGUAGGAAACAGAGCGGUGCUUUGCAGAUUGCACAACACAAACACGUUAAUUAGAGUAAAAUCAAACUUUUAAAAAUACAAAGAAUUACUUACAUGGGGAACUUGAAGUAUAAAUGAUCCGGCUCCGUGGAAAACCUUGUUCAAAUAAACUCAUGAAACAGACGAGCGUGAAGGACUUGCCCGGGCUUGUUCUUCCGUUGCUGCAGGUGGGCGGGUCGUGUCUUUUUACGUCUGGUAUAAACUUUUAAAAUGAGUUUUGUAAAAUCAAUUUAUGUUGAAGUCCAAUUAAAUUAAUUUUAUUAUAGAAAAUAUUAAGUUACGAAAAUAUUCACACUUUUUACUUAUUGAUAACUCAAAAAAACAAAGAAAGAAAAAUAAAUUAAUUUAUUGGAAUAAAUAUAGUUUUUAAAAUGAAGUCAUAUGGACAAUAGCACUGAACGACUUUUUACAGUGUGUUGUAUUGCAGAGGGCUGUCGAUAAAAAUAGAGCGUCGACAUCGGUAAACACAGGAACGGAUAGAGAGGAAGAGACAGCAGCCUAGUUGUGCUUUCCUUGUACAAUGCUAAUUCUGCCCCCUCUUUCUGCUGUACAGGCUAUAAAUACAGAUUAUGUGGGUUUGGUAAAGAAUAGAUAUGAUCAAACUGCAAAUAUGGCCAGCUGGACUGAUUUGAGGUGAUGUAAUACAUAUAAAGGAGGCUCAAUAUUUUGGUCUCAGGAACUAUAUAGGUCACAGGCCACUUUGCAUCAUUCAGUCUUUCACCUUAUUGCUGCCAUCGCUGUCAAGAGUGAUUAAUAUUCCAAUGUCCUCAUGCAAAUUUACCCAAAUAGGGUUGGCGUGAUUGGUGCAACUGCACUAACCGGUGUCAGAGGAGACCAUUUAGCGAGAUCAUGCAUAUGCAUGAGCUAAUUCAUUUAUCAGCUUGGCUGCAGUUAAUCUUUGAAUAUAAAUAUGCAAGGGUUUUUAAUUUUCACAAAAAAGAAAAAAAAAGAAAGAAAAAGAAAGAAAGAAAGAAACAGCUAACUUUGGCAAUAUGAAUUGACCACCUGUCUCUAAUCAGGAAGAGAUCAUCAGAUAAAGCAUGAGUAAAUGGAAAGAGACAGUAUUGAUAAAAAAAUAAAUAAAAAAAAAUGUUUAAUGUAUGUAUUUUGUUUAUUUAUUCGUUUGUUUAUAUAUAUAUAUAUAUAUAUAUAUAUAUAUAUAUAUAUAUAUAUAUAUAUAUAUUUUAUU
ensembl:lncRNA